rnacentral:rRNA from 1 species
UACGGGGGGGGCAAGCGUUGUUCGGAAUCACUGGGCGUAAAGGGUGCGUAGGCGGGUCUUUAAGUCAGGGGUGAAAUCCUGGAGCUCAACUCCAGAACUGCCUUUGAUACUGAAGAUCUUGAGUUCGGGAGAGGUGAGUGGAACUGCGAGUGUAGAGGUGAAAUUCGUAGAUAUUCGCAAGAACACCAGUGGCGAAGGCGGCUCACUGGCCCGAUACUGACGCUGAGGCACGAAAGCGUGGGGAGCAAACAGGG